rnacentral:misc_RNA from 1 species
GAAAUGCGAUAAGUAAUGUGAAUUGCAGAAUUCAGUGAAUCAUCGAAUCUUUGAACGCACAUUGCGCUCGCCAGUAUUCUGGCGAGCAUGCCUGUUCGAGCGUCAUUUCAACCAUCAAGCUCUGCUUGCGUUGGGGAUCCGCGGCUGCCCGCGGUCCCUCAAAAACAGUGGCGGGCUCGCUAGUCACACCGAGCGUAGUAACUCUACAUCGCUAUGGUCGUGUGGCGGGUUCUUGCCGUAAAACCCCCAAUUUCUAAGGUUGACCUCGGAUCAGGUAGGAAUACCCGCUGAACUUAAGC